AAGAUUUUAAAAGCACUAAUAACAAAAAAAGUUACAUCCUCAGGGAAACAAGAGAUGCAGUUGGUUGAAGUGGAUUGACGAACCAUGGGGGGCUAUUCUUUCACGCUUAAUAAUGCACCUAUGGGAUCAAGCUGCUCUAUACCGCGAUAGAUCAGAUGUGUUGGAGAAUAGGAAGAAAGAAAUGGACCAGGUUUACUUAGAGCUCUAGACUGAGAGAAGCAAUAUCGAGACCGAGCACGAGCGGGUGGUCAGCAAUCUCAAGAACAUUAUAGUGGACACUGAAAUUAAGAUGGCCAGGAGGUUGGAUUUUCACACUAAGCUGUGUGUGGCCUCAAGUUCUUUAGUUCUUACUCUAGUAGUAGUCAUGUCUUAUGUGUUGUCUCCUUAGUAAUGUAGUGUUAGUAGUAAGUGUGUAGUUGAUGCAUUAAGCUGCUUCUGCAGAUUGUAUGAUGAUUAUACGGUCACCCUUAAGUUUAGCUGAAAAUGCGAUGGUAUGUUGAAGUGUGCAAUUGGGAAUUCGAGUUGAUGUUUUAUAUCAAUUUUUCAAUAUGAACAUACUCAUGCAUGUCAUUC
rnacentral:lncRNA from 1 species